ACUCAAAUGAAUUGACGGGGACCCGCACAAGCGGUGGAACAUGUGGUUUAAUUCGAGGCAACGCGAAGAACCUUACCAGGCCUUGACAUGCUCUCUAUGAGCUCUUGAAAGAGAGCUCUUCACUUCGGGUGGGAGAUGCACAGGUGCUGCAUGGCUGUCGUCAGCUCGUGUCGUGAGAUGUUGGGUUAAGUCCCGCAACGAGCGCAACCCUCAUCCCUUUUUGCUAACAGGUUAGGCUGAGAACUAUAGGGAAACUGCCGGUGAUAAGCCGGAGGAAGGUGGGGAUGACGUCAAGUCCUCAUGGCCCUUACGGCCUGGGCUACACACGUGUUACAAUGGUGGUGACAACGCGCCGCAAACCCGCGAGGGUAAGCCAAUCGCAAAACGCCAUCUCAGUUCGGAUUGUACUCUGCAACUCGAGUACAUGAAGUUGGAAUCGCUAGUAAUCGCGGAUCAGCACGCCGCGGUGAAUACGUUCCCGGGUCUUGCACACACCGCCCGU
rnacentral:rRNA from 1 species